rnacentral:lncRNA from 1 species
UAAUAAGUUUGACAUGUUGUUUUUUUCUAGAGGAAAAUGGUGGCUAGGAGGCAGGACUAAAUUGCAACUCCCACUUGGAUGGAAAAAGCAGCAUGUGGAGACUCACAUCGCGAACUUUUGCUCCAAGAACUACCACAGGAAAAUACCAAGAGAGCCAAGAGAAUCCACAGACACUUUGAAGGAAGCAGAUUGCUCCUGCAGGCUCCAGGAGGCAGCCCCCAAACUAGCCCUAUCUACCUUCUCAACAUUAACACCCAGCAACCAGGAGAGGAGAGAGGCCUGGGGAAGACAGCCACCACCAAGUACACAAAGGUUGAAAGAGGACGUUUGUGGGAAGUAGACAUUUGUGAAUGUGGAUUUAGAAGAUUUUUCCCUGUGAUGAGCUGAGUCAUGGGUGAGAGCUGGAGAAAACAGAGUCUUCUCAAUGCGAAGAUGAUGAGAAUGGAGACUUUUAUGAUGAUCCACUUCCACUUAAUGAA